rfam:Triticum aestivum genome assembly, contig: Triticum_aestivum_CS42_TGACv1_scaffold_093450_2AL
GUAUCGUCAUGAGUUCAUUUCAACCACUUCACAUCGCACCAUCAAAAUGCCACCCUUGAUGAGUUUAUGGUGCAAUGUGAAGUGUUUGAGUGGAACUCAAGGUGACAU